GGGCCCGUAGCUCAGCUAGGUUAGAGCGGCGGGCUCCAGACCCGUAGGUCGGGGGUUCAAGUCCCCUCGGGCCCACCA
rnacentral:tRNA from 1 species